UUAGUAGGCGAUAGCACGUUGAAUGUACCAUUUCCCCGUGAAUCAUUGAAGUUAAGCAACGUUGGGCGUGGUUAGUAUCCGGACGGGUGACCAUUUGGGCAAUCGCGUCCCGGCUUUU
rfam:Asian citrus Psyllid, Diaphorina citri - Florida Strain, whole genome shotgun sequence.